CAGCAAGGAAGGAAGGAAGGAAGAAAAUCUAGUGUUUUCCUCCAUUUGCCGUUUUCAAUUAUUUGAGAGGGACAAGGGAAAAGCCAGAGUCGUGGACAGAUUGAGACCUCGGUUUGUGCUAACAUGUUUUGUUUCCAAUCACAUAAAAAUAAUUAAAUAUUUUAGCUUGUGGAUUUAUUAAUGUUAACUAUUGCUUUGAUUGUAAUUUAUAAUUGUUGUUGAUAUGAAUAAUUAAACAUAUAUAUAUAGAAUUAAAUGAAGCACAGGGAGUAAAUAGCAAAAUAUUAAUCUUUUAUAUUACGGACUAGUUUCAGAAUGCUUCUCAAAA